UGGGGAAUAUUGGACAAUGGGCGAAAGCCUGAUCCAGCCAUGCCGCGUGAGUGAUGAAGGCCCUAGGGUUGUAAAGCUCUUUCAGUGGGGAAGAUAAUGACGGUACCCACAGAAGAAGCCCCGGCUAACUUCGUGCCAGCAGCCGCGGUAAUACGAAGGGGGCUAGCGUUGUUCGGAUUUACUGGGCGUAAAGCGCACGUAGGCGGAUCGUUAAGUCGGGGGUGAAAUCCCGGGGCUCAACCCCGGAACUGCCUUCGAUACUGGCGAUCUCGAGUCCGGAAGAGGUGAGUGGAACUCCUAGUGUAGAGGUGGAAUUCGUAGAUAUUAGGAAGAACACCAGUGGCGAAGGCGGCUCACUGGUCCGGUACUGACGCUGAGGUGCGAAAGCGUGGGGAGCAAACA
rnacentral:rRNA from 1 species